rnacentral:misc_RNA from 1 species
AAGAUUGUCUUUUAGAUUUCUCAUUUUAAAGAUUUCACGGAGAAAUAAGUGAGAAUUUGAGAAAGUUGUGAGAUUUUCAAUUGCGAUGGUUUACGAAGUUAAUGAUUGACAUUUUAAGGUUUUGAAGCGUGAAGUUUGAUUUGCAAUUUUAGUAAUUUGAAAUAUUUUUAUUAAUUAUUGAAGCAUGUAUAAAAUAUUAUAUAUAUAUGGCUCAUCCACAUGUCUUUGUUUAGGGAAUAUUGCCAUGCAGAUGGAUUUUAGUUUAUAUAAUUAUUUAUUUCUGAACGUACAAAUUUAUUACAGGGUAACAAAUCUGCAAGGGAACAACAGAAGCACAUCUGCAUUUCUGAUUGUUUUAAUUAAUUCUCUCAUAAUCAAAUCUAAAUAUAAAAAAUGUAAAUUUUUUGUGGAUUAAAACUUUUUCAGGGUUAAAUAUUGAAAGAAAAUUAAGGCUUUUGCAGUUGCGGAAAACAUUUUCUGUCUUCAUUUUCCAGUUUUCCUCUAUAUUUUCUAAUUUUUUUUUUCAUUUUCCAAUUGUAAACUAGAAAACAUGAUCAUUA